UGCAUGAGCACGGAGGACGCCCUGGCCCGGCCGCUGCCGCUGACGGCCGCCACAACGCGCCCGUCCGCCCUGAUGAGCGCCUCCAGCGUCUCGGGGCUCGUGGACGCCGUCGGCGGCGACGUCGUCUCCGCCCUGCUCAGCUCCUCCUGCGCGGCGGGAGCCAGGACGCGCCUCUGGCUGUGGCUGUGGCCGUGGCCGCGGCCGCCGUCCUCGGUCUGCGUCGCGGCGUCCGCGGCGCGCUCCUCGCCCUUGUACGCCACGUACUCCCCGAGCUCGGCGUCGGCCGCGCCACACGCGCUGGCGCUCUUCAUCCGGUGAGCCGUCCUGCCGCGCGCCUCCCACCCGGCAGAGGACGACGAGGUGGGCGUCU
rnacentral:misc_RNA from 1 species